rnacentral:rRNA from 1 species
CCUACGGGUGGCAGCAGUCGAGAAUCAUUCACAAUGGGGGAAACCCUGAUGGGGCGACGCCGCGUGGGGGAAUGAAGGUCUGCGGAUUGUAAACCCCUGUCAUGUGGGAGCAAAUUAAAAAGAUAGUACCACAAGAGGAAGAGACGGCUAACUCUGCGCCAGCAGCCGCGGUAAUACAGAGGUCUCAAGCGUUGUUCGGAACCACUGGGCGUAAAGCGUGCGUAGGCUGUUUCGUAAGUCGUGUGUGAAAGGCGCGGGCUCAACCCGCGGACGGCACAUGAUACUGCGAGACUAGAGUGAUGGAGAGGGAACCGGAAUUCUCGGUGUAGCAGUGAAAUGCGUAGAUAUCGAGAGGAACACUCGUGGCGAAGGCGGGUUCCUGGACAUUAACUGACGCUGAGGCACGAAGGCCAGGGGAGCGAAAGGGAUUAGAUACCCUAGUAGUC